rnacentral:sRNA from 1 species
GCCACAAAGGUGAAAAAGAAGGGAAAUGAUACAAUCUUACAUCCAAGCUCAACAGCUGUUGAAGACUCUGGGAUAGUUGGCCCAGAUAUUUCUGACAUUGGGAAGCCAAUUAUACUGGGACCUGACGGACUGCCAAGAAUUGAAAAAAUUGCAGAAGAUGAAGAGGUAA